AUAUCUUGCAGACCAUCCCGCAGCAAUUCAAGAAGAGCUAUCUCCCAUGGUUUGAUGAGAUGAUCUUUCUGGUGGAUGAAGAGGAUGGGGAGUUUCCCAUGCCUUACAUGGCGCAACAUGGUGCCAUCGGCUCUGGGUGGAACUUGUUCGCCAUCGGUCACAAGCUGGCUGAUGGUGAUUGCUUGGUGUUCCAGCAAGUCCAGAGGACAAAGUUUAAGAAAUGAUGCAGGUCUACAUAAUUAGAGCAAAUUCCUACUACGAAAAGGACAAUUGUUGAUUCCUUUAGCUUCAACUAUUGCGACAACAGCAUGUCAAACAAAGGAUCCAUGGAGCGCAACAUAAUCUUCGAAGAAGUCGCUAUCUGACAACUAAAGGGGUAACAUCCUCUAGCAGUCACGUUUUACCGGAGCCUGGUAAAAUGUCAUGUUGAAUGCAAUGUGUCUGACCUUAAUAGAUGGCGCAGUAAGGUGCAAGACUGGGGCUAAGAUCAAGCUUCCUGAAUUUACAGAUUCUCCAGCAUUUGCUUGGAGACUGUUAAUUCCACCUGUUUGGUCGCUAAUUAGUUUGUUAGUAUGUUUAAUCGCUCAGCAAGAAAAUGAUCUCCUAUUUCUGUUGAGCUACUAAAGUUGCUAGGAUUCCAAGCUUUCGAUUGGUCCAGAAUGCGUGGCUGCCUCUCUGUGGCCCUCUCCUAAGCAGUUUCCUUGUUGACGAAUCUGUCUGCACACGGAACGUGUGAAUGCAUUGCUGGUAAUUGGCUAA